AAUCAGAAAACAAAAAACGAACACUGCAGGUCAGCAGAUAACGGCUCUGUGCUGCAGGGAGGGCUGUUAACGGCAGCCCAAUCUGACGAAGCGGGCACAGGAGGAAUGGGGCAGCGUUACCAUGGAGAUAACCUGAUGACGCCGGGCCGGACGGACUGGGUGGACGCACACGGAUGACGUCACAGAGCGGGACGGAGCAGCGUUCGCGUUGUACGCUUGCACGGUGGCCGGUAUCUGAUACUGCGGCGCCCAGCUGGAACCGGUCAGGAGGUCUAAUGAAGGCCAAGCAGACCAAGCAGUCCCAUGCAAGAACCACUCAAUACUAGACCUUUGUUCCAGCCAUGGUGUAAGUACUGGAUGACCUCACUCCACUGGACAGAAGGCAAGAUCCUGAAGCAAAAUACCCACACAGAAGAGUUCCAGCUGCACAGCCUCACUUCUUCCUCAGCACAAAAUCAGACCAAUGACAUUGUGUGUUCCAAUAAAAGAACAUUUGAAGGCACUACUAAGAUUGCAUAAAGCGUAUGAUAGAUGCAUGCUAUUUAGAAAAAAGAAAAGAAAAGUGAAAACUACUGAAGUACCGUGCAGACAUUUUUUUCCAGUGCUCCUCCCUUACUCUUAUGGUCCCAACCAAAAUCAGAGAGGAAGGUUGAUUUAAAAUGGGCCAUGCCACUCAAACCCCACCACCUCCUCACCGUGCAGCUAUGCAGUGUUGGCUAACAAGAUUAAUAUACUGUGUUGUAUUAUUAAAAUUCAAGUGAGUCAUG